GGGUUAUGGGGUCGUUGUGGGGCUGAGUGUGGGGCUAUGGGGUCAGAAUGUGGGGGAAUGGGGUCUGAACGUGCGGUUGUGGGGUUUUGAGGUCGUUAUGGGGCUGAGUCUGGGGUUUUGGGGUCGGAAUGUGGGGGAAUGGGGUCAGAAUGUGGGGGAAUGCGGCUGAAUGGGGGGUUAUGGGGUCGUUGUGGGGCUGAGUGUGGGGCUAUGGGGUCAGAAUGUGAGGUUGUGGGGUGAUGGGACUCGUUGUGGGGUUAUGGGGUCGUUGUGGGACUGAGUGUGGGGUUGUGGGGUCAGAAUGUGAGGUUAUGGGGUGAUGGGACUGCUUGUGGGGUUAUGGAGUCGUUGUGAGGCUGCGUGCGGGGAUAUGGGGUCAGAAUGUGGGGGAAUGGGGCUGAGUGUGGGGUUAUGGGGUCAGAAUGUGAGGGAAUGGGGCUGAGUGUGGGGAUAUGGGGUCAGAAUGUGAAGUUGUGGGGUCGUUGUGGGGCUGAGUGCAGGCAUAUGGGGUCCGGAUGUGGGUUAAUGGGGCUGACUGUGGGGUUAUGGGGUCAGAAUGUCAGGUUGUGGGGUGAUGAGACUCAUGGGGUUAUGGGGUUGUUUGUGGGGUCAGGUUGUGGGGGAAUGGGGUCAGAAUGUGGGGUUGUGGGGCUGAUUGUGGGUUUUUGGGGUCAGAAUGUGGGGUUAUGGGGCUGAGUGUGGGGUUAUGGGGUCAGAAUGUCAGGUUGUGGGGUUAUGGGGUCGUUGUGGUCCUGAGUAUGGGAUUAGGAUAUGGGGUCAGAAUGUGGGGGAAUGGGGUCAGAAUGUGGGGGAAUGGGGCUGAAUGGGGGGUUAUGGGGUCGUUAUGGGGCUGAGUGUGGGGUUGUGGGAUUAGAAUGUGGGAUUAUGGGGUGGUUAUGGGGCUGAGUGUGGGGUUGUGGGAUUAGAAUGUGGGAUUAUGGGGCUGAGUGUGGGCUUAUGGGGUUUUUAUGGGGCUCAGUGUGAGCUUGUGGGGUCAGAAUGCGGGGUUAUGGGGUUAUGGGACUCAUUGUGGGGCUGUAGGGUCGUUGUGGGGUCAGAAUGGGGGAUUGUGGGGUCGGUGUGGGGUUAUGGGGUGGGACUGCGGAGUUAUGGGAUUGCAGUGUGGGGUUAUGGGGUCGUUAUGGGGUUGUUAUGGGGUUAUGGGAUUCAUUGUGGGGUUAUGGGGCCGGAAUAUGGGGUUAUGGGGCUGGUGUGGGGUUAUGGGGCCGGAAUAUGGGGUUAUGGGGCU
rnacentral:lncRNA from 1 species